AAAAGAAAAGACAAAAUGCGAAAUUAGAAAAAUAAAAAGGACAUGAGGCUAGAACAUCAGCCCCAAAAUCUAGGGUUUGCUAUUUCAUCUGCGAUUUCUCGCCGGAGCUGCUGGUGCUCAGCGGAUUCACGAUGUUUCCUCUGAGAUUCAGCUAAUUUGAGGAAAGACAAGUGUGGCACUCAACAAUUUCUUUGAUAAUCUUUAUCUCCUCGAUUUCUUUCACCGUCAAUUGACUAAUAGAACUGGCUUAGAUUUUCUCAGAAGUUACAGUAUCACCUUCACCCAAGUUUGCAUCCACAUUUCUACUCACCUCUGCUUCAAGUGGCUUAUCAGGGAUUAUGAGACGAAGUUGUUCAAUAUCUGAUUGUUCAUAUGAAAAUUUCCCUACCACAACAUACUAAAGAUUCUCAGUGACAUUCAUCUGAUCAACUUUUGCUUCAGUGUAUUUAAUAUAUGGCACCCCAUGUAGGAAAGUUACUGGUUUCAUUGGAAUUUGGGGCAGCGAUUGUAUUUGACUAUGUAAUGAAUCAUUCAAGGCUUUUGGUUUAAACAGAUCUGAAUAUUGUAAUGGAUUAGGAUUGCUAUUUGGAACAGUCGUAGUUUGUGAGGGUUGGCCAGCCACCAUCGUGGACUGGCCACCGGCCAUGGAGGCCAUGUUCACCAAGCUUGAGAUCUAUGUAUUAGGGUUUUGCAUGAAAAUAGGAGGUGAGAGAAGAGAGCUUUUUCGUGAUUCAGUUAUGUGUCUAUUUGUUUAUAGGUCAGAAACCUUUGUGUUUUUCUCUUGAGACAUAAUAUAAUUAAAUAAUUAGAAAUGUA